rnacentral:tRNA from 1 species
GUUCCUGUAGUUGAAUUACAACGACGGUUUUUCAGGUCGUAGGUCUUGGAUAAAAGCCAUGCGGGAAUA